rnacentral:rRNA from 1 species
CAGGAACGCUGGCGGCAGGCUUAACACAUGCAAGUCGAACGGGCAUAGCAAUAUGUCAGUGGCAGACGGGUGAGUAACACGUGGGAACCUUCCUAGAGGUACGGAACAACGCAGGGAAACUUGUGCUAAUACCGUAUACGCUCGAGAGAGGAAAGAUUUAUCGCCUUUAGACGGGCCCGCGUAGGAUUAGGUAGUUGGUGAGGUAACGGCUCACCAAGCCUACGAUCCUUAGCUGAUCUGAGAGGAUGAUCAGCCACACUGGGACUGAGACACGGCCCAGACUCCUACGGGAGGCAGCAGUGGGGAAUCUUGGACAAUGGGCGCAAGCCUGAUCCAGCCAUGCCGCGUGAGUGAAGAAGGCCUUCGGGUUGUAAAGCUCUUUUACCAGGGACGAUAAUGACGGUACCUGGAGAAUAAGCCCCGGCUAACUUCGUGCCAGCCGCCGCAGUAAUAC